rnacentral:rRNA from 1 species
UUAAAGUCUAACCUGCCCACUGAAAUUUUAAAUGGCCGCAGUAUUCUAACUGUGCAAAGGUAGCAUAAUCAUUAGUCUUUUAAUUGAAGGCUGGAAUGAAUGGUUGGACGAAAUAUUAACUGUUUCAUUUGAUUUUUUUUUAGAAUUUUAUUUUUUAGUCAAAAAGCUAAAAUUUAUUUAAAAGACGAGAAGACCCUAUAAAUCUUUAUAUUUUAUUUAUUUUAAUUAUAAAGAUUAUUUUUAUUAUAAUAAAUUAAAAUAUUUUAUUGGGGUGAUAUUAAAAUUUAAAAAACUUUUAAUUUUUAAAAUCAUUAAUUUAUGAAUAAUUGAUCCAUUAAUAGUGAUUAAAAAUUUAAGUUACUUUAGGGAUAACAGCGUAAUUUUUUUGGAGAGUUCAUAUCGAUAAAAAAGAUUGCGACCUCGAUGUUGGAUUAAGAUAUAAUUUUGGGUGUAGCCGUUCAAAUUUUAAGUCUGUUCGACUUUUAAAUUCUUACAUGAUCUGAGUUCAAACCGGCGUAAGCCAGGUUGGUUUCUAUCUUUAAAAAAUUAAAAUAUUUUAGUACGAAAGGACCAAAUAUUAAAAUAAUUAUAUUUUUAAAAAAGAAUAUUAUUAAUUAAA